rnacentral:rRNA from 1 species
CAGCAGCCACGGGAAUACGAAGGGGGCUAGCGUUGUUCGGAUUUACUGGGCGUAAAGCGCACGUAGGCGGAUCGAUCAGUCAGGGGUGAAAUCCCAGAGCUCAACUCUGGAACUGCCUUUGAUACUGUCGAUCUGGAGUAUGGAAGAGGUGAGUGGAAUUCCGAGUGUAGAGGUGAAAUUCGUAGAUAUUCGGAGGAACACCAGUGGCGAAGGCGGCUCACUGGUCCAUUACUGACGCUGAGGUGCGAAAGCGUGGGGAGCAAACAGGAUUAGAUACCCGGGUAGUCCCUGUCUCUUAUAC